AUUGCGUACCCAAGUACAAUAGCGGCCAACGGUCUCAAAAGUAUUUGCCAGAUCCGAAAUAUCUUGACGUUGACCAUGAGAAGAAAAACAAAUGAGAUUGCUUUAAUAGACAUUUCGAAUGAACCUAUGCAACUGGUUUAUCUGGAUCUUCCUGGAUUAAUGUACGGAAAAGUGUAAACAUAACAUUGUUGUUAAGGAGCUACAUAUAACACAUAACAUACAACACAUAUGUAUGGUUCCUUGAAGAUGAUCAAAAACACAUCCUUCUUGCUUUAACAUACAUUUGUAUAAACACAAAAUACCUUUAAAUUCUACAAGUACUGGGUAUACAAAGUAUACCCUCAAUACGAUUACAAAUGUUUGGAUGUACAUAUAGAUAACAUAUGCAUACAUAUGUGUCAAUGUGAAAACAAUUUUGAAUCGAAAGCGGAAAAAUGGUUCAGUUUGGAAGGUAAGGGAACAUGUUCCAUUUUGUGUUUACAAAGCAAAAAGAAUAAUACAUACGUAGAUAUGUAUUGUACAUACAUUAUAAUUUAAACAUAUGUUUUUUACGUACACACAUGUUCAUUUCAAUUCUUUUUAUACUAGUUGCAUGUACAUAUGAAUGUUCUUGUAUACAUACAUAUUUAUGUAUAAUUAUAGAGCAAUGAUACACAUCUUUGAUUAUUAUUAUUAUUCCACUUCUGCGGAUACGUCUUUGUUGGUUUACGUUGACUAAACUCCGAGAACACCGAAAGAAACAGAUAUAAAUACCUGGUAAUAUACCUGGUAAUCAUAUUUGUAUACUCUGUGUGUAUAUUGAUUUUAAAUAGAUGUUUGCAAUUCAUGGAAGGAAGAAUCAUCGCUGGCCCUGAGAAGUUUAUAUUGUUACGCAUAGGCAGAUCAAGUAGACCGAGGAUUGGGUUGCUAUGCCGUAUUGCGUCAAUAGUAUUGACUGAGAAUACUCAGUCUUGGCUCAAAGUUGUUUGGAACAACAUAUGUACAUACAUACAUACAUAUGUAUUUAAUUUAAGGUCUACAGUAAUUCUAAAAUUAACUCUCUGUCCAUAUUCCUCAAUAUGAAAAUACACGUAGUAAAAACGUAA